GGUAAAAAAGCUCGUAGUUGGAUUUCUGUUGAGGGCGUCCGGUCCGUACCACGUACGCGUAUCUGGGUCGCGCUCGGCAUCCUCUCGAAAGACGGUUCUGCGCUUGAUUGCGUGGUCCGGGUUUCGGGACUUUUACUUUGAGGAAAUUAGAGUGUUCACGGCAGGCAGUUGCCCGAAUACAUUAGCAUGGAAUAAUACUAUAGGGCUUUGGUUCUAUUUUGUUGGUUUCUAGGACUAAAGUAAUGAUUAAUAGGGACAAUUGGGGGCAUUCGUAUCAACACGCUAGAGGUGAAAUUCUUGGAUUGUGUUGCGACGAACUACUGCGAAAGCAUUUGCCAAGGAUGUUUUCAUUGAUCAAGAACGAAAGUAAGGGGAUCGAAGGUGAUUAGAUACCGUCGUAGUCUUUACCACAAACUAUGCCAACUAGAGAUGGGGCAUCGUUCAAUACGACUUGCUCCGCACCUUAUGAGAUAUCAAAGUCUUUGGGUUCCGGGGGGAGUAUGGUCGCAAGUCUGGAACUUAAAGGAAUUGACGGAAGGGCACCACCAGGAGUGGAGCCUGCGGCUUAAUUUGACUCAACACGGGGAAACUCACCAGGUCCAGACAUAAUAAGGAUUGACAGAUUGAUAGCUCUU
rnacentral:rRNA from 1 species